UACGUAGGGCGCAAGCGUUUGUCCGGAAUUAUUGGGCGUAAAGGGCGCGUAGGCGGUCGUGACAAGUCACUUGUGAAAUCUCCGGGCUUAACUCGGAACGGUCAAGUGAUACUGUCGGACUAGAGUACAGAAGGGGGCAACUGGAAUUCUCGGUGUAGCGGUGAAAUGCGUAGAUAUCGAGAGGAACACCUGCGGCGAAGGCGGGUUGCUGGGCUGAUACUGACGCUGAUGCGCGAAAGCCAGGGGAGCGAACGGG
rnacentral:rRNA from 1 species